GACGAACGCUGGCGGCGUGCCUAAUACAUGCAAGUUGAGCGAUGAAGAUUGGUGCUUGCACCAAUUUGAAGAGCAGCGAACGGGUGAGUAACGCGUGGGGAAUCUGCCUUUGAGCGGGGGACAACAUUUGGAAACGAAUGCUAAUACCGCAUAACAACUUUAAACAUAAGUUUUAAGUUUGAAAGAUGCAAUUGCAUCACUCAAAGAUGAUCCCGCGUUGUAUUAGCUAGUUGGUGAGGUAAAGGCUCACCAAGGCGAUGAUACAUAGCCGACCUGAGAGGGUGAUCGGCCACAUUGGGACUGAGACACGGCCCAAACUCCUACGGGAGGCAGCAGUAGGGAAUCUUCGGCAAUGGACGAAAGUCUGACCGAGCAACGCCGCGUGAGUGAAGAAGGGUCUCGGAUCGUAAAACUCUGUUGGUAGAGAAGAACGUUGGUGAGAGUGGAAAGCUCAUCAAGUGACGGUAACUACCCAGAAAGGGACGGCUAACUACGUG
rnacentral:rRNA from 1 species